AGUAAGGGAGUUCUUCGGAACAAUCUUACCUACCGAGUGGCGGACGGGUGAGUAACGCGUGGGUAACCUGCCUCAUACAGGGGGAUAACAGUCAGAAAUGGCUGCUAAUACCGCAUAAGCGCACAGUGUCACAUGACACGGUGUGAAAAACUCCGGUGGUAUGAGAUGGACCCGCGUCUGAUUAGCUAGUUGGUAAGGUAACGGCUUACCAAGGCGACGAUCAGUAGCCGACCUGAGAGGGUGACCGGCCACAUUGGGACUGAGACACGGCCCAAACUCCUACGGGAGGCAGCAGUGGGGAAUAUUGCACAAUGGGGGAAACCCUGAUGCAGCGACGCCGCGUGAGUGAUGAAGUAUUUCGGUAUGUAAAGCUCUAUCAGCAAGGAAGAAAAAAGACGGUACUUGACUAAGAAGCCCCGGCUAACUACGUGCCAGCAGCCGCGGUAAUACGUAGGGGGCAAGCGUUAUCCGGAUUUACUGGGUGUAAAGGGAGCGUAGACGGCAUGGCAAGUCAGAAGUGAAAGCCCGGGGCUCAACCCCGUGGACUGCUUUUGAAACUGCUAGGCUAGAGUGCAGGAGAGGUAAGUGGAAUUCCUAGUGUAGCGGUGAAAUGCGUAGAUAUUAGGAGGAACACCAGUGGCGAAG
rnacentral:rRNA from 1 species